UAUCUGUAUUUAGGGGUAGUAAUUGUUUCAUUUCAUCCAUGUUUCGUUAGUUAAUUGUAUAAUUUUUAGUUAAUUCAUUCAUAUUUUAGAAUUCAUGUUGAUCCAGCUCAACUCUUUGAUUUCUGUGUUAUAUCAGGUGAUUUGAUGCAAUCCUAUGUAAUUUUCUUUAUUCUAGAGUUAGGGAUGUAACACUUUCAAUUAAGUUAUGGAUUUGAUUUUAUUUUAUUUAAUAAAUUGGGUAUUUUGUUCUUUGAUUCAA
rnacentral:misc_RNA from 1 species